UGGGGAAUUUUGGACAAUGGGGGAAACCCUGAUCCAGCCAUCCCGCGUGUGCGAUGAAGGCCUUCGGGUUGUAAAGCACUUUUGGCAGGAAAGAAACGUCGCGGGUUAAUACCCCGCGAAACUGACGGUACCUGCAGAAUAAGCACCGGCUAACUACGUGCCAGCAGCCGCGGUAAUACGUAGGGUGCAAGCGUUAAUCGGAAUUACUGGGCGUAAAGCGUGCGCAGGCGGUUCGGAAAGAAAGAUGUGAAAUCCCAGAGCUUAACUUUGGAACUGCAUUUUUAACUACCGGGCUAGAGUGUGUCAGAGGGAGGUGGAAUUCCGCGUGUAGCAGUGAAAUGCGUAGAUAUGCGGAGGAACACCGAUGGCGAAGGCAGCCUCCUGGGAUAACACUGACGCUCAUGCACGAAAAGCGUGGGGAGCAAACAGGAUUAGAUACCCUGGUAGUCCACGCCCUAAAACGAUGUCAACUAGCUGUUGGGGCCUUCGGGCCUUGGUAGCGCAGCUAACGCGUGAAGUUGACCGCCUGGGGAGUAC
rnacentral:rRNA from 1 species